AAAAAUGGCUCAAACAAAUUAAAUAUUUCUCAGAUUCUCUCUCUCUCUCUCACACACACAGACGAACUCAUCGUCUCCAUCUCUCCUCCAUCUCUCACGAGAUCAUGGCUUCCACCGGACAACACUCCGAUCUUAGUCACUCACGGCCAGCUGAGUUAAAUCUCCUGGGUAUCUCAGUUGGAUAGUAUUAAACAGAAACCUACUUCAUCACCUCUCCCGUCCUCUAUAGUCGUCUCCUUUUCUUCUUCAUCUCAGGCACUUUCUCUGCUCGCCUCAAAUCCGGGAGCCAUGGCGGAAAGGGAACAAAAGUUAAAGAGAAAACAAGCUUUACAAGUCUCACUCUAGGUUCUGGCUCUUGGCAACAUGUUGUUACUCACUGUGAUGCCAAACGAAGAAUAACGAUUUAAAAGAGAUGACCCGUUGACUACUAUUAUUGCACAUACAGAUCCUGGCGAGCAUGUUAGUCUGGAAGCAGAAGACCACAAAGACAUGCUUCACUUCGUUCUUAUGCUUUGAUUCGAGAGGGAGAGAGUUUUUAUUUUUUAUUUUCUAAAUGUUGAGACUUGUUAGUGUUUUGUACAUUAAUGAUAAAUUGAGGCCAAAAAUAAAUUGGAGCUAAAACUCAAAAUAUUAUUGGAGCCAAUUUUUGGAGCCAAAUAUUAUGGAGGGAAAUAAAAUUGGAACCGA